rnacentral:ncRNA from 1 species
UAAAGAUAAAGGCAAACUUCUCCGAAAGGGAAGGACGCAAAGCCACGGGUCUACUAUUCAUUGUUUGAAUUAUGACAGCCGGGCUACUAAA